AUGUAUGUUCGACAUGCCAUGACAACCAAUUUCUUUUUUUCCCUUUCCAUAACACACAAAAGUUUCGCUUGUCGUUUUCUUUUAAGACUUGGGAGAAGAGUUAUUUACAGAAUUGUUGAAAACACCCAAUUCUCAUGUCUCCACAUUUCUGUGUUUUUGGAAGAGGUCUUUUGUAAUCCUUUGAAUCAAAGAAGCCUUUUGCUGCUUACUAAUUCUUCGUCCGUCCGGGUUUAUUAUAGCGUCCUGCAUAUAACUAAUCAGUUUCCUGCAAUGUCCAUGGAUGCGUCUGGUCAUUGUCCGCGCCAUCUCAAAUUUUUGAUUCCAUAA
rnacentral:rRNA from 1 species